AUAUUGUCUCACUCUCAAUUAACAAUAUCUCCUGUCAUGGAAUUAACACCGCCGCCACGAGUGGCUGCCUUUUAAGCAGAAAGUCAAGCGGCGAGCAAGGAAGUUGAAAUUCAAGCCCUCGGUACCUUCUAUUAGCACAGGAAAGGUGAAUUCACUGACGAGCAAGAUCAACGCGCCGGCAAGAACAUGAAGACCUUCAGCUUAUCUGUGCUUCACUGAGUGGCUAACAGCUAGCGUCCCAGAUGCUAACAUGGAGUUAGCCGACUUCAGGACAGUCAGAGCGGACAGGAACACAAGAGCCUGUGGAAAGCGCAAAGGAGUCAGGCACAAGCAGACGCCAAAAGACCCACAAGCCACAGAGUCCUCGCCCUCCGAGGUGGGUGGGGAGAGGGGUUCUCUGGUCCCUGACGAGGGUGAAGGUGUGGGUUCAGAUGGGUUAAGCAGCUGACAGUUGCGUGGGCUUCAUGGCGGGAAGAUCCAGCAGAGCCUGCACGGUCUCGCCCACCUUCACCAGGCCGCGCUCUUCCAGGAUGUGAUGGGGAAGACACAGCUUGUCCUGUGGGACAGAAGACGACAAGGACAUUUGGAAUGUGAACCCAAAGCAACAGUGCUUGUUUUUGACCCGAAAUAUUCCAAAAUGUGCUGCAAAAUGAAGUCAUUAUGCUAACAAGUUGGUUGGCUGCAACUGGUCGUGAUGGGAAUGGUUUGAAAGAUGUGCUAAAGCUGGCAGUGACGGACUUAUUCGGUGCCACCUCUGACCAAACUGGGGGGCUAAGUAUAAUUUUAUUUGUCUAAGACAGUCUUUAUAGACAUGCAUUUGAUUACCUGUGGGACUCCCAUUUUUUUACAGGCAUCCAAGAAGUUCUCCACAUUCCUACGGCAUUUAGCCAUGCUGAGCUUUGGCUGGUUGGUGGAGGAAACAGAAACAGGAUCACCCCAAAAUGCAAUGAGCAUUAUUAUUAAGGCGAUAAUAAAGCUUCUUACCACUGCAGGUGAUGGUACGUGGAUGCUGGACACAGAGCGAGGACAAAUGUGAUUGGCUAAAUGACAAAGGACCACUCCAUCCAUCAGGGCUGCUCCCACAUCGUCGGGAAGCAACACCUUCAGUCUGGACUCAAUGUUCUGAAAACAUGUAAAGAGUGAAAGCAUAUUACAGACAAUUUGCCACUAAAUAAGCCACAAAGGUUGAAUCGAGGCUACCGGACUCGUCUUGCUUGCUUGACGUUUUACCUUUAAUCCAAAAGGCUUGUUCAAUUCUCAGUCUGGCUAGUGAACAACCUGGAUGACUGAGAAUCUACACAGACGUAGCUGAAUAAGAUAAACACCAGUGCUUCAGCCACAAAAAUAAGCGUAUGGUUUAAUGAAUUCCCAUCUGGCAGUUUGAACUGCAUGUGCUUUUUGUCUGUGGAAAUAGACUUUAAUAAGAAUAUUGUGUUCAAACUGUGCCAUUGUGGCGUUGUGCAGUGUAACACACAACAACAAAAAAUACGCUACUGCAACACACUUGGAAAAAGUCAAAUUUCCCCACCAAAACGCUUAAUUUUACCAUAAUUUCAUUUAAAAAAUUUUUUAAAAACAUUUUAAUUGAAUUGAAUUACAGUGCUCUAGAUUUUUUUUUGCAAAAUCCUACCAUAGCGAUCCCUCGUUUAUCACGGUUAAUUGGUUGCAGACCCAACCGUGACAAGUGAAUUUCCCCAAAGUAGGAUUUCCUUUUUAUAAAUGGAAUAUUGUUGUUGUUACAGCAUAGAAAACCUGUUUACAGCCUUGUAAAUAUGAUUUUAACAUUAUUAGAGCCCUCUGGGCCCAUUUAGUCACCUUUACACUUAUAUUACGCAAUAUAGUAGAUCUAAUCAAAGAAAAUAAGCCAUUUUCGACAUAAGUAAAACUCGUUUCUCGUGUGUGUUGCACUAAAUGUUGACAGGAAGCGGUGUCGCUUCAGAAUUUAGUUUUAGCUGGAUUACGGCUGCAACAGUUGCCCGCGUUUCGGGAUGUAACGAUGGCCGCUGUUAAUGAUUAACCGCGGUAAUCAUGAUAAAGAAUGAUAAAGAAACAAAGAACUUUGACAAAUGACAUGCUGUCUUUUGGCACAUGUGAUAUGCGUCAAAAUGCCGAAUAUCCGUGGUCGACCAGUAAUCUGUACGUUCAAUUUUUUUUUACGCUCAAUCAGAUUUCAGCUUCUACGUGUUGCCACGUCAAUCCAAUCUGCCCAGGACCUUUAGAAUCGAUAGUGCUGGCCCAUGUCACUUGAACACUAUUAACAAUGGGUCUGUUUCUUUAACCAAUCAGAUUUCAGACUCACCUCAAAGGGCCAGCUCGCAGGCCUACAGUAACGCCAGCGUUUUUCCCGUCCUCUGAUCAUUUGCAGAGCAAGACUAUUCAACAAGACAAGUUACGCGUACAACGGAGGAGGAGGAUAAAUUGACAUCUCUGGCGGGACCUCUGGCCAUUUGGACUCUGAAUCUAACUGAUCUGACUUCAGGCUGCCAUCGAAGGAGCAGGACGACGAAGGCUAUGUAAGAAAAGAGGACAAGUGAGGAAGGAGACACAUGCACGAGUUUUUCAUCAGUGGGUUUCGGAGAACGUGUCAUAUCGCAAAUUUUGGAAAUAACAGCCCGUCUCCAGUUAUCGCCUGCUUCCAAUUAAUGCCGAGUCCUCUUGCAGUUCAGAGUCCAUUUUGGAAAGGAGUGAAAGGGCGUCGGCACGAGCUGUCUCAGACACCUGAGAAUGGAGGCUGACGGUGUCGUCGUCUGAAGGCUACAGGGGGAGAGAUGGUCUGUGAGCCGACAUGCCAUAAUUCUGUUGCAGUACCUGUCUGUGAGUGGCUGUGGAAGGCAACGUUUGCCAAGUGAGGGGAGGUCCAGGGUGUCUGGCUUCUUAUCCAACCUGCACGCUUGGAUGUUCAGUGUUCAGGGGCAUCACGAUACACUCAGCUGACGAGACAAGAAAACUACAAUGGCAAAAUAUAGGACUGCACAAACAGACUUUUUCAUUUAGUCACAAAACAAUGCAGCUGGUGUGUGCUGGAAGCAAAACAGAAGGCAUUCAGGGCGCUUCCUGUGCGAAUUAACGCGUGUGAUGGUGGUGGACACAAAAG